rnacentral:tRNA from 1 species
GGGGAUGGCUCAAGUGAUAGAGUAUGUGCCUAGCAAACACAAAGACCUGAGUUCAAAUCUUAGUACCACCA